ACAAUAACAUCUAUUUGGGGUUGUGACAUGGACACUGAGAAAAUGCGAAUUGAAUGACGUCUGUCAAAAGUGAUUCAGACGAAGAUAUGAGAAGUAGUGAUUAGUAAUUGUUAAUUUAUUUUUGUUGCACAAUAGUUCAAUAAGUUUUAAUUUUAGUAAAUGUUUCACUAGUUACUCUGAAACGUAUGAUACAGUUUAUCAGUGCUUGUAAAAUUGAGGUACAAUCGGUUUUGUGAUGGGAAAAUACAGGUGUAAUUCACAAUGCUUAGAAACAAAUUAGAUGUAUGUUGACUAGAGAAUGUACCGUACUGCUAAUUAAAUAAGAUCAGUUGGCAAAACUAGAAAUGGAGACUCUGCCUGCAGAAGUGGUGGAAAUGAUUGCUCUAUUCUUGAGUAUAAAAGACCUGAAAGCAUGCUGUGGUACUACUCACACAUGGCGUGACAUUUUUGGUCAAGACACUAUAUGGAAACGUCAUUGCAACCGGGCUUUGGCCAAGUGCCUUGGUGCUGCCCAGAGUAGAGUGGAACCCAAGUUUGUGUUGUCAGAGGAGGAGCAUUUAAAGAACUUGAGCCCCUUGGGUGAAUGGAGACAGGCUUACUUGCAGGAACAACUUUUGUGGAGUCACUGGAGAAAUGGGAACUAUGUGAUGGAAGAACUAACUAUAAAAAGCUCAUACAAAUACUGGAUUACCACUAGCAAUGGAAAAUCUGCCCGUGGAAAUGGUAGAGAAUAUAGCCCAAUAUUUAACUACGAAAGAACUGGCAGCAUGCUGUGCUACCAGUCGAGUUUGGCGAGACAUUUUUGGUGAAGACGGUAUAUGGAAAUAUCGAUGUAACACACAUAUAGCCAAGUAUCUUGCUACUGCUGAGAGUAGAGUAAAUCCACAGUUUGUGAUACCGGAGUGUAUGAAUGUAGAAAACUCGUUAAAUCCACUGGGAGAGUGGAGAUUGUCUUAUUUACGAGAACAACUUCUAUGGAGUCAUUGGAAGAACAGGAAACAGGUGACUGAGCAUCUAACGUUGAUUGAUCAAUCUGAACCUGAAAAAGUAAGAGUCGGUGACAACGCGUUGUGUCAUUUUGUCACAGAUAACUAUUUGAUUACAUCAAAUGAGAAAAGAGUAAUGUUGUGGGAUGUCCGAAAUUGUCCUGUGUAUGUGAGUGAUCCCUUCAAGCUUUUAUCAUCUAACGGAGUGGAUUUUUGUUUAGCAUUGAGUAAUGACAAGAUUCUUAUUGUGCAGAAAACUCUUGUUCAGAUUUAUUAUUGCGGAUCACCUAUGAACUCCAACUGGAGUUUAGAACAAAACUUUUUGUUUGAUAGAUCUGAACUGAUUUCAUUAAGUAAAACAGAAGAAAUGGUGAAUUUUCCCCUUACUUUCAGUAACCUUGUGAUUGGGAAUUAUUUUGUAGGAAUCUUGUCUUCGGGAGAAAUGCACAUUUGGGAUCUUGCAUCUGGAACAAAGAUGAAGAAAGUUUCAUAUCCUGGCAGUAUGAAUGAUGAGAUCAUUAAAGUUGUAAGUUCUAUGACACCACCAACAGACAUCGUUGUUGUAAUUCAAAGAAAUUCCAUGUAUCACUUCUUUGUCUUCUGUUUUGCCAGUUUGGAUUUUUAUCCCUUUACAACUAGUCAUGACAAUCAGAGAUUUCCUUCUUGUGCAAUCCAAAACGGAUUGUUGGCUAUCAGUUUAAAUGGCCAUUUUAAAGUGUUUGAUUAUCGCACCUCACAGUUGGCGUUAGUAGUGCCUGCCGAAUACUCAGUAGGAGUGUUGACCUUAGACAGUUCUUUUCUUUUUAUAUCAAAGAAUACUGUACACGUAUUCAAUACUAUCACAGCAUCUUUUGAAUCAGUACUUCUAGCAUUAAUAGAUCCAUUUGAAGAUAUAAACAGUAUAACUGACAUUACAUGUAAUAAAUUUUUGAUUACAAGCCACUUCAGCGGAGAAAUUGCUUGGGAGUUGGACUUUAAAUCAUCACCUAUGAAAAUGACUAAUUUGCGGAACUUCAAUGUUUGCUAUGAUUGUAAUAUUAACAAAGCUUGUACAAAGGUAGCAGGAGAACUGUGGGAGGGAAGUGUAGAAGUUAUAAGUUAUUGGUAGGUUAUAAAUGUAAAGUUAAAAUCUAGAAAUAAAAUUAAAGUUAAGUAAAAGAAAAGAUUGUUAUUUCUGUGGUGGUGUUAGGAUGUCCCUACAUAGAUCCUCUUUAAUUCACUAUUCCUAUCAGUAACGUUAAUUUGUAAUCCUUGUUGAGCUGUAAAUUAUGAUAAUCAAGACUAUCAUCUGUUCCUGCCAUUGAGCGAUUGCUCAUAUUCUAGUCUAAUAGACCAAAUGCAGACGACCUGUCAGUGUUGUUCAAUUGUUUGUUCUUCCCCAACUGUCUAGUAUGUAGAAAGUGAUAAAGCAGGGUGGCCACCCAAGGGGGAAUAAGCCAGGAAUUUUUCUGAGAAACGAGAAAAUUACAUAAACAAUUUUUCCGUCUCAAAGAAUUUAUAAAAUUAAAGACAAUUUGACAACUUCUUGAAUCAAGAAUUUAUCAAUCUCGAAACAUUGUAUUAUACGCGACGUGGAUCAUGAAAUUGUGAAUGAUCAACAUAUGUUUGCGAGCUUCAUCUGAGGGUUGCCUCCACUAGUGUAUACAUCGAGAGAUUCCAUAUGGGCCCUGAGAAGUGCGACAUGGGAGUGGUGUGAUAUGGAGUGGGAGAAGCCGUCAAAAGAGGGGAGGGGCUGACUGCCGUCGCGCCACAAAGCGGUUGUGACCGCAAUACAAACAGGUCUAUGUAUUUAAAUAUUAUUCCAUCGCCGAAAUGGGGUUAUAAACAGGCUUAACACGUUGGCUACCGAUGAAAAAAAUUGGACUCUCAAAAUAGACCGACGUCCCGCCGGCGGGGCGCAGCGGUUUUCGUCGGGGACCAGCGUCCCGCCGGCGAGACUCACGGACUGUUUCUAGCGGACCGACGUCACGCGGGCGGGACGCAGACCACAAUUAGAAUAAUGUUGUUUUAUUUAUAGUUGGUCAGAUUUAAUGCCUUGGUUCUUGGAUAUCGGUCUAUAGGAAUGUGUGCCCCGCCCGUGGGUCGCGUGGUCCCUGUGUGGGAAUUUUUUUCUCACGUUGCAGAGCAUUUAAGUUGUCUCACCUGUUGUUUACUAUAUUGCACUUUUACCUGUUGCUUAGAUGUUGUGAGGCUCAGGUUUCACUCUGUUACGAUAGUUUGUUUUCAUUUUGAGGUUAUUUAAUGAUCUUCGUUAGAUUUCGUGAAUAUUUACGAACACUGGAGUCUUGUAAUAUGAAGAGAAAAAAACCAAACAGAUUGUUCUACAAUGAUAGUGACAUUGAAGAUGAAUUAGGCGAUUCCGAUGAACUAAGUUCGUUGUACAGUUCUAAUGGUGAGAGUAAGUGUGUUCCUGCAGACAGUAGUAACGAUGGUGAACCAAGUGAUGAAGAUGAAACUAGGCCGAUCACUGAACCUGAGAAUGUAAGUUUUAGUGUAGGCCUAGACGGAAAUGACCCGAUAUUUCACGAUCCAAACAUAGAGUUUGUACUUGAAAAUGUUGAUAAUAAUAUGAAUGAUGAUAUGACCAAUGACCCUAACGUUCAUUUUGUUGUGGAUAGGGAUCACAUGGGUUAUGACGAACGUCAACUAUGUUGGACUGAUAAAAACAAUAUUCCUCCAAUCCACAACUUUAUAGGCCAAGAAAAAAUAAACACUGAUUCAACAAAUCCCGUAGAAAUCUUUUCAAAACUUUUUGACGAUGCUCUCCUAAACAACAUUGUGACGUGGAUAAAUAACCGUGCUUUGCUUAUUCGUGGUAUGCCUUCCCCGAAACACUCACAUAAAUUGGUGGAAGCCUAUCACUAUUGAGGAACUAAAAAAGGUUAGGCUUAUGUAUGCUGAUGGGGAAUCUUAAGUUUUCAAGCCUUAAGCACUGCUGGUCGUCAUCUGAACUGUAUGAACACCCCAUUUUCAGCAAAACCAUGUCUAGAAACAGGUUUGAAUUAUUUCUAAGAUGCAUGUGUUUCUAUAACCCACAAUCUGGCUCAACCGAGGGAAAGUUACAUAAAUUUAAAAUGUCCUUAUCCAUCUUUUGCGUAACUUUGCCACAUGUUUUUCACCAGGAAAAUAUUUAUCGCUUGAUGAGGCGAUGGUGUUAUGGCGAGGCAGGUUGUCAUUUUGCCAAUACAUAAAAAAACAAACUACAUAAAUACAGUAUAAAACUGUACGAACUCUGCACCCUUGAUGGUUAUAUUCUGAACAUAAUAAUCUACACAGGUAAGGGUACACUGUCAAACCCAGAGAAAGGGCACACCUUUGAAGUAGUGACACGCCUUAUAUGGGGAAGGGACACAUGGUGUUUAUGGAUAACUUCUAUAACAGUGUAGACUUAGCUGAACACUUAGAUGCAAAUGACACCAUGUGUGGCACACUAGCGAGUAACAGAUCUGGAAAUCCAGAAGUGGUAGUAAGAGCCAAUUUGAAGAAAGGAGAUUGUAUAAGUAGACAAAAAGGUAAUGUCACAGUCAUGAAAUGGAAAGACAAAAGAAAUGUUUUGACCAUAUCAACGGCACAUGGACCAGAGAUGGAAGACGUAAGAAACAAAAGAGGAACAGAUACAAGUAAACCAAGUAUGGUUGUAUCAUACAAUAAAAAUAUGAGUAGAAUUGGUAGAAGCGACCAAAUGAUUUCAUAUUACUCAACGCCCAGAAAGUCUUUGAGGUGGUAUCUGAAGCUAUUCUUUCACCUCCCUAGAUGCUGCUAUGUGGACAGUAACUACAUAUAUUCACGAAACCUAGAAAACCUCUUUCAAGUACCUAGCAUUUAGAGACAUCAUCAUAUCUGAUUAUCUUCAGCUGCACCCUGUUACACCCAGAAGCGUUCGCCCAAGACUAUCUCAGGACCACAAGCUUAUGAGGAUGAGCCCAAGGGUAAGGUGUCGACAUUGUUUCAAGACUGACAAAAAAAAGAAAAAAUACAUACUACAUUUGUGACAAAUGCAAGGACAAAAAGGGACUACCUGUUGGAUUUACCCCACUUCCAUUAAUUGUCUUAAUGAUAGGUUGUGAAAAACUAGUUCAUUGCUGAGAUUUUACUGAAUCUACCUUUAUUGACUGACUCAAUCUUUUAUGUCAGUAUCAUGAAACUACUAUCAGAGGAGGGAUCUGUGUACCUUUUUAUGACCACCUUACAUAAAAGUUUGUAAUAAUUAAGUAUAACAAUAGGCCUAUAAGUAGAAAUAUUUUACCAGUAAUGACAACACUUUGUUUACUCCUGUGUGUGUGUUGACUAUAACAUCUGUCCAAAUGCAUACAUCCAUCUGCAGCAUUCUGUUGAUCUUAACAUCUGUUUUAAAAUGGCAAGAAUUGCAAUCCUAUUCCUUAUCUCAUUGAUUUUUUGUGGUCUCGUUUCAUAAAGGUUACUUUGUAAGAAUUCACAGAACAAAAAAUUUGUUGUAUUUAGAUCUGGUGAACGAGCUGCUCAUUGUAUUGCACCGUGCAGACCUAUUCAUCUGCCAGAAAACAGUCCAAUCAUUAUUACAUGAUAGUGCACCAUCGUGCUAACUGUAAACGGAGGUUAUAAUGUCAUACCUGUACCGAGUCAGAUAUAUUGUCUGAAAAUAUUGGUAUAUAUUGUUGUAGAAACACAGGAAGUUCAUAAAUAAUAAUAUGUAUGUCUUUAUUGCAAGUUGAGUAUACUUUCUUGUUUUCUAUUGUGCUUAUAAUUUUCUUCUGAAUCGUACACACUUUCACCUUCGAAAGACCUUUCCCAAACAAUUGUUUCAAAGAGCUAUUGAAGAUAAACACAGAUAUAGUAGAUACUUAUAAUAUUAUCUAAAUUGAAUUUUUUUUAAGAGUGAAAUUCAAAAUUAAUAAUUUAUUUUUUUUAAGAGGCUGUUCACGUUACGUCAAGUGAUAGUGAAUUUCUGAUUUCUUAUGUUUGUCAAUUUUAUAACAUUUAAUUAAAGCUUUGAAUUUAUUCCAGACUGGAUUACCACUAGCAAUGGAAAAUCUGCCCGUGGAAAUGGUAGAGAAUAUAGCCCAAUAUUUAACUACGAAAGAACUGGCAGCAUGCUGUGCUACCAGUCGAGUUUGGCGAGACAUUUUUGGUGAAGACAGUAUAUGGAAAUAUCGAUGUAACACACAUAUAGCCAAGUAUCUUGCUACUGCUGAGAGUAGAGUAAAUCCACAGUUUGUGAUACCGGAGUGUAUGAAUGUAGAAAACUCGUUAAAUCCACUGGGAGAGUGGAGAUUGUCUUAUUUACGAGAACAACUUCUAUGGAGUCAUUGGAAGAACAGGAAACAGGUGACUGAGCAUCUAACGUUGAUUGAUCAAUCUGAACCUGAAAAAGUAAGAGUCGGUGACAACGCGUUGUGUCAUUUUGUCACAGAUAACUAUUUGAUUACAUCAAAUGAGAAAAGAGUAAUGUUGUGGGAUGUCCGAAAUUGUCCUGUGUAUGUGAGUGAUCCCUUCAAGCUUUUAUCAUCUAACGGAGUGGAUUUUUGUUUAGCAUUGAGUAAUGACAAGAUUCUUAUUGUGCAGAAAACUCUUGUUCAGAUUUAUUAUUGCGGAUCACCUAUGAACUCCAACUGGAGUUUAGAACAAAACUUUUUGUUUGAUAGAUCUGAACUGAUUUCAUUAAGUAAAACAGAAGAAAUGGUGAAUUUUCCCCUUACUUUCAGUAACCUUGUGAUUGGGAAUUAUUUUGUAGGAAUCUUGUCUUCGGGAGAAAUGCACAUUUGGGAUCUUGCAUCUGGAACAAAGAUGAAGAAAGUUUCAUAUCCUGGCAGUAUGAAUGAUGAGAUCAUUAAAGUUGUAAGUUCUAUGACACCACCAACAGACAUCGUUGUUGUAAUUCAAAGAAAUUCCAUGUAUCACUUCUUUGUCUUCUGUUUUGCCAGUUUGGAUUUUUAUCCCUUUACAACUAGUCAUGACAAUCAGAGAUUUCCUUCUUGUGCAAUCCAAAACGGAUUGUUGGCUAUCAGUUUAAAUGGCCAUUUUAAAGUGUUUGAUUAUCGCACCUCACAGUUGGCGUUAGUAGUGCCUGCCGAAUACUCAGUAGGAGUGUUGACCUUAGACAGUUCUUUUCUUUUUAUAUCAAAGAAUACUGUACACGUAUUCAAUACUAUCACAGCAUCUUUUGAAUCAGUACUUCUAGCAUUAAUAGAUCCAUUUGAAGAUAUAAACAGUAUAACUGACAUUACAUGUAAUAAAUUUUUGAUUACAAGCCACUUCAGCGGAGAAAUUGCUUGGGAGUUGGACUUUAAAUUAUCACCUAUGAAAAUGACUAAUUUGUGGAACUUCAAUGUUUGUUAUAAUUGUACUAUUAACAAAGCUUGUACAAAGGUAGCAGAAAAGCUGUGGGAUGGAAGUGUAGAAGUUAUAAGUUAUUGGUAGACCUACAAUCUGGAAUGGAAAAACUUCCUGCGGAAGUUGUGGAAAUUAUAGCGCAAUAUUUGACAACAAGAGAACUUGCAGCAUGCUGUGCGACCAGUCGUGUCUGGCGAGACAUGUUUGGUCAAGACAAUAUAUGGAAACAGCGCUGUGACACGCAUAUAGCCAAGUAUCUUGCUACUGCUGAGAGUAGAGUGAAUCCACAGUUUGUUGCCCCAGAGUGUACGGAUAUAGAAAACUCUUUAAAUUCUGUGGGAGAGUGGAGACUUGCUUACUUGCGUGAACAAUUCCUAUGGAGACACUGGAGAAAUGGAAAUUUUCUGAUGGAACAGCUAACUUUGAAUAGUUCGUCCGAACGUGAAGAAAUAGCACGGUAUCAAUUCUUAUUCACAUUGUUCUAUUUUGUUACAGAUGACUAUUUGAUUAUAUUAAACAAGAAACGAGUUAUGUUGUGGUACAUCCGCAAUAGUCCCGUAUAUGUGAGCGACCCCUUUCAGCUUUUGUUUCAUGACUAUGAGACGUCCUUUUUGACAUUCCUUAACAACAAGCUUAUCAUCGUGCAGAAAACGGCUGUUAAAAUUUUUGACUGUGGAUUACCAUUGAAAUCAAACUGGAUUCUCGAAACAAGCUUUAUGUUUGAUAGAACAGAAUGUGUUCCAUUAAGUAAAGGAGUUGAAAUUAGCGAUUUUCCUAAAACUUUUGGUUGUCUCGUGAUUGAAAAUUUGUUUUUAGGCAUCUUGUCCUCAGGAGAAAUACACGUUUGGAAUCUUAAAUCUAAUACAAAACUGAAGAAAGUUUCAUAUCUUAAUAGUACUACGAAUGGUAUGGCCGUUAAAGUGGUAAAUUCUAAAACACCACUGAUGGAUAUUGUACUUGUGGUUCGCAUAAACACCACGUAUCACUACUUUGUAUUCUGUUUUGCCAAUCUGGACUUUUAUCCCUUCAACACUAGUCAUAGCGAUAAGACAUUUCCUUCUUGUGGUAUACAAAACGGAUUGUUGGCUAUCAGUUUUAACGACUGUUUCAAAGUCUUUGACUACCGCACCUCCCAGUUGGUGAUGAUAGUGCCUGCUUUCUACACAGCAGGAGUGCUAACCUUAAAUAAUGACUUUCUUCUUGUAACGAAUACCACUGUACACGUAUUCCACACUAUCACUGGAACUUGGGAAUCAAUACUUUUAUCGUUAGUCGAUCAAUUUAAAUAUAUACAAAUGUUACAUGGCAUUAAAUGUGGUAAAUUUUUAAUAACGAGCGAUGGCCAGGGACUACAACAAGGACAAACCGCGUGGGACAUUGACCUGAAAUCAACUCCCAUGAAAAUUGUCUGUCUGGAGAAGUUCAACUUUUGCAAUAAUUAUGUUAUUAACAAAGCGUGUACAAAGGUAGCAAGCAGGUCAUGGGAUGGAUUUAUACAAAUUGUAAGCUACUGGUAGUCUAGCAACAUUUACCUGUUUUUGUUUGUUUUAAUGUUAUUGAUCGGUUAAGAAUUUAGACUAUUUUGUCUUAGAUUAUUUGUUUACAUAUUAUUUUGUGCUAAUUGAUUAGAAUAUGUUAACUGUUGUCCGUAAUCUUAAUAACAAGAAUUAAAGAAUUAUGUUCAAA